rnacentral:rRNA from 1 species
GUGAGGAAUAUUGCGCAAUGGAGGCAACUCUGACGCAGCCAUGCCGCGUGCAGGAAGAAGGCGCUACGCGUUGUAAACUGCUUUUAACCGGGAAGAAACCCCAGGACGUGUCCUGGGUUGACGGUACCGGAGGAAUAAGCACCGGCUAACUUCGUGCCAGCAGCCGCGGUAAUACGAAGGGUGCAAGCGUUAUCCGGAUUCAUUGGGUUUAAAGGGUGCGUAGGCGGAGCGUUAAGUCAGUGGUGAAAUCCUGCAGCUUAACUGUAGACUUGCCAUUGAUACGGGCGCUCUUGAUUGCGCUUGAAGUGGGCGGAAUGUGCCGUGUAGCGGUGAAAUGCUUAGAUAUGGCACAGAACACCAAUUGCGAAGGCAGCUCACUAAGGCGAUACUGACGCUGAGGCACGAAAGCGUGGGGAUCGAACAGGAUUAGAAACCCGAGUAGUCC